rnacentral:lncRNA from 1 species
AUUUACAAGUUUGUUUUGUUUAACAAGCUCAUUUAUUGACUCCUUUGUUUUUCAUUCUCUAGGAUUAAAGCACGGCUCUGGUUCACAUCCAGGAGGAAGGUUAGUCCAACGCCUGCAUGAAACCGUCUCUGCAGCAGGGGCCAGCAGGAAACUGGAAAAAAGGUUCAGUCAGCCAUUUGGUGACAUACUGUGUUGACAGAAAACUGAAAAUUUACUGGAAAUAAACCCCUCCAGUUUUACGUAGGCAUAUGAUUGCUUUGAUACAAUACAAGAGAGUUUGGCCCAACCUCAGUGCACUGGAAACGGUGGGAGGUCCCAAACUUAAGAGCAGCCCGUUGUCAGAUCUACAUCAAAGCCAGCAACCUGGGCGGCUGCCCUGGAGCUCCGGGUCUCCAGCGAAGGUAAGUGCUGGAGCUCCUCAGUCCCUCCGAGUUUCUACAUCAGACCGAUGAUGUGCUUUGCUGGGGAACAGCUGCGGGCACCGGUUCCUUAAAAUCGAGAAUAUUUUGGGCUUUGGUUUGAUAGUAGUCCAAAUCAGACCAUACAU